rnacentral:rRNA from 1 species
CCUACGGGAGGCAGCAGUGGGGAAUUUUGGACAAUGGGGGCAACCCUGAUCCAGCAAUGCCGCGUGAGUGAAGAAGGCCUUCGGGUUGUAAAGCUCUUUCGUCAGGGAAGAAACGGUGAGGUCUAAUACACUUUACUAAUGACGGUACCUGAAGAAUAAGCACCGGCUAACUACGUGCCAGCAGCCGCGGUAA